rnacentral:rRNA from 1 species
AUUGAACGCUGGCGGCAUGCCUUACACAUGCAAGUCGAACGGCAGGCACGGGAGCAAUCCUGGUGGCGAGUGGCGAACGGGUGAGUAAUAUAUCGGAACGUGCCCAGUCGUGGGGAUAACGUAGCGAAAGCUAUGCUAAUACCGCAUACUAUCUAUGGAUGAAAGCGGGGAUCGCAAGACCUCGCGCGAUUGGAGCGGCCGAUAUCAGAUUAGGUAGUUGGUGAGGUAAAGGCUCACCAAGCCGACGAUCUGUAGCUGGUCUGAGAGGACGACCAGCCACACUGGGACUGAGACACGGCCCAGACUCCUACGGGAGGCAGCAGUGGGGAAUUUUGGACAAUGGGCGCAAGCCUGAUCCAGCAAUGCCGCGUGCAGGAUGAAGGCCUUCGGGUUGUAAACUGCUUUUGUACGGAACGAAACGGUGAGCUCUAAUACAGUUUGCUAAUGACGGUACCGUAAGAAUAAGCACCGGCUAACUACGUG